GAUGAACGCUAGCGGGAGGCCUAACACAUGCAAGCCGAGCGGUAUUGUUUCUUCGUAACUGCUAGAGCGGCGUCCGCGUGCGUAACACGUGUGCAACCUUCCUUUAUCUGGGGGAUAGCCUUUCCAACGGAAGAUUAGUACUCCUUCCUGUAUUUAUCGUCAUCGUUUAAUUUUGAUAGCUCCGGCGGAUAUAGCUGGGGCCGCUCAAGAUUACCUCGUUGGUUAGGUAACGGCUUACCAAGGCGAUGAUCUUUAGGUGGCCUGCGAGGGUGAUCCGCGACACUGGUACUGAGAUACAGACCAGACUGAUACGCGAGGCAGCAGUGAGGAAUAUUGGGCAAGGGGUGCAAGCCGGAAACAGCCAUGCCGCGGGAAGGACGACUGCGAUAUGGAGUGUAAACUUCUAGUGUAGAGGGAUAAACCAACCAUCGAGAGGGUAGCUGAAGGUACUAUACGAAUAAGCACCGGCUAACUCCGUG
rnacentral:rRNA from 1 species